rnacentral:rRNA from 1 species
GACGAACGCUGGCGGCGUGCUUAACACAUGCAAGUCGAACGGAAAGGCCCUGCUUUUGUGGGGUGCUCGAGUGGCGAACGGGUGAGUAACACGUGAGUAACCUGCCCUUGACUUUGGGAUAACUCCAGGAAACUGGGGCUAAUACCGGAUAGGAGCCCCUGCUGCAUGGUGGGGGUUGGAAAGUUUCGGCGGUUGGGGAUGGACUCGCGGCUUAUCAGCCUGUUGGUGGGGUAGUGGCUUACCAAGGCUUUGACGGGUAGCCGGCCUGAGAGGGUGACCGGCCACAUUGGGACUGAGAUACGGCCCAGACUCCUACGGGAGGCAGCAGUGGAGAAUAUUGCACAAUGGGCGGAAGCCUGAUGCAGCAACGCCGCGUGCGGGAUGACGGCCUUCGGGUUGUAAACCGCUUUCGCCUGUGACGAAGCGUGAGUGACGGUAAUGGGUAAAGAAGCACCGGCUAACUACGUG